UACGUAGGGCGCAAGCGUUGUCCGGAAUUAUUGGGCGUAAAGAGCUCGUAGGCGGUUUGUCGCGUCUGCUGUGAAAACCUAAGGCUCAACCUUGGGCUUGCAGUGGGUACGGGCAGACUAGAGUGCGGUAGGGGGUGACUGGAAUUCCUGGUGUAGCGGUGGAAUGCGCAGAUAUCAGGAGGAACACCGGUGGCGAAGGCGGGUCUCUGGGCAGUAACUGACGCUGGAGGAGCGAAAGCGUGGGGAGCGAACAGG
rnacentral:rRNA from 1 species